AUUAAAUAAAUGUAUUAUGUACUAUUAUAAAAAUUAAUUAAAAUGAUUAUAAAAGUAGUAGGUUUGUUCUUACCUUUUGCAUAAUGGUUAAAUUAAAAUCUUUUGUUUAUUCAAUUACCCGAAAUAAGAAGAUCUAUGAUUUUUUAACUGUUAGGUUGUUAAUUUUAAUGUAGAAUAAUUAAUUUACAAUGAAAUUAUAGGGGUGAAACGCUUUCAAUUCUUAGGAUAACUGGAUUAAAUAGAAAAACAUUUAGUGUUUUAGUCAGGCAAUAAGUGAUAAGAUUUAUUGCUAAAAAAGAUUUUAAUUUUUAAUAUUUACAGGAACUAAAUAUUCUAUAGUAUAUAUAAACUAGAAUUGUUUUUAAAUUGAUCUUUUUAAAAAUAUUUAAGCUUUCAUGAAUAUCUCUGAGGGUUUUUACUGUUUAAAUUAGUAUUAAGUUUUAAUUUUUAAUAAGGAACUCGGCAAAAAUUUUUCCUCAACUGUUUAUCAAAAACAUAGCUUUAAGAAAGUUAGAAUAAAUUUAAAGUUUCACCUGCCCUGUGAUUUUAUUUAACGGCCGCAGUACUUUGACUGUGCUAAGGUAGCAUAAUAAAUUGGCCUUUAAUUGGGGUCGAGUAUGAAAGGGAUUAUGGGGAAAUACUGUCUUUUUAAAAAUUACAUAAAAUUUACUGAAUAGGUGAAAAUACCUAUAGUUACUUUUAAGACGAGAAGACCCUAAGAAUUAUAAUUAAAGGAUAUUAGUUCUUCGUUUUUGUUGGGGCAACAUUGUUAGGAAAUAUAACCAACAUUAAUAAAGUUUUACAUGUCUACUAUAAUUAGAAAGGUUUUAAUUACCUUAGGGAUAACAGCAUAAUUAUAUUUAUAGAUUGUGACCUCGAUGUUGGACUAGGGACUUUAGUUAUUAUCCAUUACUAGAGAUAGUUCUGUUCGAACUGUAAAACCCUACAUGAUCUGAGUUCAGACCGGCGUAAGCCAGGUCAGUUUCUAUCUAAUAUAGGAGGUAUAGUAGUACGAAAGGACCCUAUAUCUACAAAUUAUUUGUUUUAACU
rnacentral:rRNA from 1 species